UCCCAAAAACACAAAGUUUUGGUCCUAAACUUGCCAUUGUUUUUUAUCAAAAUUAUACAUGCAAGCCUCCACGAGCCAGUGAGAAUGCCCAUAUACCCCAGACAGCCGACCGGAGCAGGCAUCAGGAUGCAAUUAAAGUUAGCCAAGGACGCCUUGCGCACGCCACACCCACACGGGCUUUCAGCAGUAAUUAACAUUAAAGCAUGAGCGAAAGCUCGAUUUAGUUAUGAUAAAUAAAGUCGGUAAAUUUCGUGCCAGCCACCGCGGUUAUACGAAAGACCAAAAACAAUAGCCCACGGCGUAAAGCGUGACCAGAACAAGAUAAACCAUUAAAGGGGUAAGACUGCCAAGUUGUAAAACACUACUGCACGUCAGAACCACAACAAUAACAUGCCUUUAAACCAACUUUAUCUCACGAAAGCUAAGAAACAAACUGGGAUUAGAUACCCCACUAUGCUUAGCCCUAAACACAGAUAGUUUUAACACAAAACAAUCCGCCAGAGAACUACAAGCGAAAAGCUCGAAACUCCAAGGACUUGGCGGUGCUUCAAAUCAACCUAGAGGAGCCUGUCCUAUAAUCGAUACCCCACGUUUCACCUUACCACUUCUAGCCAAUCAGCCUAUAUACCGCCGUCGUCAGCCUACCUUGUGAAAGGAACAAAGUGAGCAAAAAAGUUAUUAACUAACACGUCAGGUCAAGGUGUAGCACACGAAGUGGUAGAGAUGGGCUACAUUUUUUCAAAGGAAAAACCACAAAUAGUAAGCUGAAACACAUACUUGAAGGAGGAUUUAGUAGUAAGAUAAAAAAGUAUGCUUAUCUUAAACCUGCUCUGAAGCGCGCACACACCGCCCGUCACCCUCAUCG
rnacentral:ncRNA from 1 species